rnacentral:rRNA from 1 species
GACGAACGCUGGCGGCGUGCCUAAUACAUGCAAGUCGAACGCAGUGGGGACGGGUGAGUAACACGUGGGUAACCUCCCAUCAGAGGGGAUAACACUUGGAAACAGGCGCUAAACCGAUACUGAUGGAUGAACCCGCGGUGCAUUAGCUAGUUGGUGAGGUAACGGCUCACCUAGGCGACGAUCCCUAGCUGGUCUGAGAGGAUGAUCAGCCACACUGGGACUGAGACACGGUCCAGACUCCUACGGGAGGCAGCAGUGGGGAAUAUUGCACAAUGGGCGCAAGCCUGAUGCAGCCAUGCCGCGUGUAUGAAGAAGGUUUUCGGGUUGUAAAGUACUGUCAGUGAGGAGGCGGUACUCGCAGAAGAAGCACCGGCUAACUCCGUGCCAGCAGCCGCGGUAAUAC